GACGAACGCUGGCGGCGUGCUUAACACAUGCAAGUCGAACGGAAAGGCCCCUUUGGGGGUACUCGAGUGGCGAACGGGUGAGUAACACGUGAGUAACCUGCCCUUGACUUCGGGAUAACUUCAGGAAACUGGGGCUAAUACCGGAUAGGAAUCCUUGCUGCAUGGUGGGGGUUGGAAAGCUUCGGCGGUUUUGGAUGGACUCGCGGCUUAUCAGCUUGUUGGUGGGGUAGUGGCUUACCAAGGCUUUGACGGGUAGCCGGCCUGAGAGGGCGACCGGCCACAUUGGGACUGAGAGACGGCCCAGACUCCUACGGGAGGCAGCAGUGGGGAAUAUUGCACAAUGGGCGGAAGCCUGAUGCAGCAACGCCGCGUGCGGGAUGACGGCCUUCGGGUUGUAAACCGCUUUCAGCAGGGGCGAAGCUUGUGGUGACGGUACCUGCAGAAGAAGCACCGGCUAACUACGUG
rnacentral:rRNA from 1 species